UGAGGAAUAUUGGUCAAUGGGCGCAAGCCUGAACCAGCCAUCCCGCGUGAAGGAAGAAGGCGCUAUGCGUCGUAAACUUCUUUUCCAGGGGGAGAAUUUUCCGGUCGUGACCGGAAUUGACGGUACUCUGGGAAUAAGCAUCGGCUAACUCCGUGCCAGCAGCCGCGGUAAUACGGAGGAUGCGAGCGUUAUCCGGAUUUAUUGGGUUUAAAGGGUGCGUAGGCGGAUCAAUAAGUCAGUGGUGAAAUUCUGCAGCUUAACUGUAGACUUGCCAUUGAUACUGUUGGUCUUGAGUAUGGUCAAGGUAGGCGGAAUGUGUAAUGUAGCGGUGAAAUGCUUAGAUAUUACACAGAACACCGAUUGCGAAGGCAGCUUGCUGGGCCAAUACUGACGCUGAUGCACGAAAGCGUGGGGAUCGAACAGG
rnacentral:rRNA from 1 species